rnacentral:rRNA from 1 species
UGGGGAAUAUUGCACAAUGGGGGAAACCCUGAUGCAGCGACGCCGCGUGAACGAAGAAGGUAUUUGUAUCGUAAAGUUCUGUCCUAUGGGAAGAUAAGGACAGUACCAUAGAAGAAAGCUCCGGCUAAAUACGUGCUAGCAGCUGCGGUAAUACGUAUUGAGCGAGCGUGUUCCGGAAUUAUUGGGCGUAAAGGGUACGCAGGCGGUUUAAUAAGUCGAAUGUUAAAGAUCGGGGCUCAACCCCGCAAAGAAAUGGAAACUGUACUGCUUACGUAGUGGAGAGGAAAGUGGAAUUCCUAGUGUGGUGGUGAAUUACAUAGUUAUAAGGAAGAAUACCAGUAGCGUAGGCGACUUUCUGGACACAACCUAACGCUGAGGUACGAAAGCGAGGGGAGCAAACAGG